rnacentral:lncRNA from 1 species
UCGUGAUCGUGUGUUGAUAUCAAAAGGAAAACAAAAGUUCAAAGCUGAAUUAAUUGAAGGCAGCAAGUACAUAAGCAAAAUCAAUUAACCUGUUAAAAUUCAUCUAUUAAACUAAAAGAAAAACAUUUAAAAGGUGCUACACCAUUUCUCUCAAAAUAAAAAUCACCAUCUCCUUCUUUGCUGAACUUUUGUGUGCUCUCUCUCCUUCAACCAUAACCCUCCAUCUCUGAAAUAAAAAAAAAAAAACAAUCCCUCUUAACGCUGCAACUACAUUCUUUUAAAGCAAAAACAUUCUUCUCCCUGGCGGCUGACUCUUUUCUCUAGGUUGAAUCACCUGCUUCCCACGUGCUGGACCUACAAAUUCAUUUGUCCAUGGGCUGCUUGCUGCCAAGGUUUCUCUCCAAGCAAAGUUUCCUCUUACAGCCCCUUGCUGGACCGUUGGUGUUGCAUUUGACGAUGAAUGGGGUCUUGCUGUAUGCACCGCUGCAUUCUUCUCUCCAACUCAAGCUUCAUGGGCCUUGC